rnacentral:siRNA from 1 species
UAACGACGUCAACUUCCGGUGA